rnacentral:rRNA from 1 species
UACGUAGGGACCGAGCGUUGUCCGGAAUCAUUGGGCGUAAAGGGUACGUAGGCGGCCUUGUAAGUUAGAAGUGAAAGCCAUGAGCUCAACUAAUGAAAGCUUUUAAAACUGCUAGACUUGAGUGAUUGAGGGGCAAGUGGAAUUCCUAGUGUAGCGGUGAAAUGCGUAGAUAUUAGGAGGAAUACCGGUGGCGAAGGCGACUUUCUGGCCA